rnacentral:rRNA from 1 species
AUGAACGCUAGCGGCAGGCUUAAUACAUGCAAGUUGGGGGGCAGCAUGAUAUACGCGAGUAUAUUGAUGGCGACCGGCGGACGGGUGAGUAAUAGGUAGGAGACCUACCUCAUACAGGGGGAUAGCAUAGAGAAAUCUGUGGUAAUACCCCAUGAGGUUAUAUGAAUAGAGGCAUAUAAUCAAAGCAUAAGCGAUUAUGCGGUAUGAGAGGGGCCUACUGACCAUUAGCUAGUUGGUGAGGUAAGGGCUCACCAAGGCGAAGAUGGUUAGGGGUUUUGAGAGAGAGACCCCCCACAUUGGAACUGAGAGACGGUCCAGACUCCUACGGGAGGCAGCAGUAGGGAAUAUUGGGCAAUGGGCGAAAGCCUGACCCAGCCAUGCCGCGUGAAGGAAGACGGCCUUAUGGGUUGUAAACUUCUUUACUACGCGAAUAGAGGUUAGUACGAGAUACUAAUAGGAAGGUAGUGUAGUAAAAAGCACCGGCUAACUCCGUG